AUACGGAGGAUCCGAGCGUUAUCCGGAUUUAUUGGGUUUAAAGGGUCCGCAGGCGGGCCUGUAAGUCAGAGGUGAAAGCCGGCAGCUUAACUGUCGAACUGCCUUUGAAACUGCAGGCCUUGAGUAAGAUUGAAGUGGCUGGAAUGUGUAGUGUAGCGGUGAAAUGCAUAGAUAUUACACAGAACACCAAUAGCGAAGGCAGGUCACUAAAUCUUAACUGACGCUGAGGGACGAAAGCGU
rnacentral:rRNA from 1 species